CAAUAGCGUAUAUUUAAGUUGUUGCAGUUAAAAAGCUCGUAGUUGGAUUUCGGGCGGGGCGGGACGGUCCGCCGUUUCGGUGUGCACUGUCCCGCGCCGUCUUCUUGUCGAGGACGCGUUUCCGGCCUUUGCUGGCUGGGGCGCGGAGUCGGCGCGGUUACUUUGAAAAAAUUAGAGUGUUCAAAGCGGGCUCACGCUUGAAUAUAUUAGCAUGGAAUAACACUAUAGGACUCCGAUCCUAUUCUGUUGGUCUUCGGGACUGGAGUAAUGAUUAAGAGGAACAGUUGGGGGCAUUCGUAUUUCAUUGUCAGAGGUGAAAUUCUUGGAUUUAUGAAAGACGAACUUCUGCGAAAGCAUUUGCCAAGGAUGUUUUCAUUAA
rnacentral:rRNA from 1 species